AGACCAUCCACCUUUCUGUUUUCUCUACUGUUGCUCUGAGGAUAUGAUGUGGCCUCAUCCCAUGUUCUUCUGAAAUCACAGAAUAAAUUUCAGCACACUGAGAAUAAGCAACACAUCGCAGUUCUUUAUCAUCUGGAGCCAGGGAUAUUCCAGCUGACAUAGUUGUACUUCUAUAGCUGCAAGCAUUUGCCUCUUCCUGUAGACUCUGACAUCAACAUAUCUGGACCCCCUGCUUAAUAUAAGGGCACAAUCUGUAUCUUUGGGAAAGAUUCAGAAUUCUUGCACCUGGCAAACACUUCAGUGGCAUACUCAUACUCUGCACACCUCCUUUCUGCUGGCAACUGUGGACCUAAGUCACACCCUGCAGGUAGGCAUGGAGAAAUCUCUGACUCAAUAUUUUAAUUGAGCUCAACAAAUAUUUACUAAUCACAAGGAAGUGCCAGAUACUGUGGAUACAAAGAUGAAUAAAUAAAUAUCACAUGGUUCCUGCUCUAACAGCUGAUAGUUCAGUGGGGAGAGAAAGGUUUGUACACAAGCCAUUACAAUGCAACAUGAUAAAUAAAAUGAAGAUACAAAAUGCAGAAAUACAAAAUAUGUGAGGUCAGAGACAGCUUCAAAGGAGAUGUUGCAUGAGCACAUUCACAAGUGACACAAAAUCUGGCAGCCUGGGUGGCUCAGCACUUUAUUGCCACCUUCAGCCCAGGGUGUGGUCCUG